UUUCUUUCUUCUUCUCUCUAGUGUUCUAACCAAUAAUCAUUCAAUCGCUAUUACGAUUCAUUUUCCGACCGAUCAAUAUAUCCAAUGGAUGUUUAAGUGCCGCCCAUAUUAGGGUUAUACUUUAUCGUUCGUCGUUAAUUCGAUGAAUGUUUAAGUAUCGCGCUUUGUCGUUCGUUGUGAGAAUUUGAUCUCGUGAGUUAUCGUAAAAGCUGUAUUGAUCAUUAACCCGGUUUUUGUGAAAUUCGUUAAGGUUCGAAUCUCAUGACUACCGUUAAGGUUUGAUUUGGGUUUUACACCAAUACGUAUUCCAUUCUGUUAAACUAUGUAUUUAACUACCAAGAAUACUCCCAACUACACCCUUACAAUCAAACAAACUAUUAAAUCAUCAGAAGAUCCAGAAUAAUAAAGUGCAUGCUUAAUUAUCGGAAGAAAUAGAAUCAAGAAGUUUGUUAACUCAAUCCUGCAUGCUGAUUUGUGAGUCAUUCUCUUUUUAUCAACUGUUUUACAAUACUCCAAAUUAUUUUCAGAAUUAUAAAUUACAGUGAUUAAGUUUAUGUAAUCACCAAAUUACAGCCAGUAUGUGGGGUAUUGUGCACAUUACUACAGUUUUUAUCACAUUAGGUGGGCGAACCUAAAAUUAAGUGAUACGUCAUUCAUUGGGGCAGCCAAUGGUGAUAUGACCACUGUCACAGAUCCGGUCGAGUGACAAAUACUGUGGGUAGUUGGUUGAUAUCAGAAACAUGUGUAAUUACAAUAGAUUGGAGUAAGGAGUGGAUCCGACACUGAAAGACUUCAAGAAGUGGCUUAUUUUAUUAAUUAAAUCAAAUUAAGAAAUAUUAUUUUUAUUAAAAGCUACCUUUGUAAAACAUGGAAUUUAUUCCAUCUAUUUAAAUAAAGUCCGGUGUUUCUAAACUCUGAUAUUUUCCUAACUCACGGUCCUGAUGAAAUUUCCGCUGCAAUGUUUUUCAAAAUAAUCACCGGUACCACAGGACUGCUCGCGGCUCCCGAUUCCGUCCAGGGUGGGGUCGGGGGUCGUGACAGUAAAGGUGGUAUCAGAGCUAAGCCACUGCUUUAAGCCUAUAAGUGUUGUGAUGACAAUACUUAAGCUUAAAUAAAAGAGUUAGGAGAUUGCUAUUAACUUAACUGGUAGCACAUCUGAUAGCAUUUAGACUUGAACAUAAGAAAAGAUGCCUUAGUAUAAGCUAAGCCACUUGUUUACGCAAAUAAGUGUUAUAAUAAUACCUAAGCUUAAACGGAAAGUUAGAAACUUAAUAUUAUCUGAUAACACUCUGAAUGACAUUUAGACUCGAACUUAAGAAUUUUGUCUUAAUAUAAGCUUCAAGAUAAAAUUACUUAUAUAAGUAUAAAUAAGUAUAAUCGGUAUUCAAUAAGAAUAACGACUAGCAGGCAAUAGCAUUUAAUUGCUAUUUAUUCUUGUUUAUUGGUAUUACUUGGUCAAGAAUAAAGAUAUAUUAGGGAAAUAUAAAUUUCCUUGAUUCUGGAUAAAAGCCUUAAUAAAAAAAGAGGCACUUUUUGAAAAGAUACUGUUUAUGGGAAAUAGGAAAUUUUCUCCGGCAAAACUGGGUAUAGAGUAGCAGACUCUCCAGCUUGUCCGGAUAUACUGAAAUUACCGCUCCGGCGUGAACCGGAUAAGACGGGAUAAAUGGUAUUUCAAACCAGUAGCAAGAUUUCCCUAAAUAGUAUCAUAACAUGAUAUCUGACUUGUUUUUGGAAAUAAGAAUAUGUUAAAUACAUUAACCUUAUGAAAGGUAUGUAUAUUACAGCAUGUGAAAUAUAUAAAUAUAUAGAUAUGUAUAUCUAUAAGAAAUUCCAAAAACCAUAACGAUUGAUAAUUAAGAAUAAAACACAAUCAUAUGUGUCAAUAAUAAUUCUAGAUUUCUUUAUCAGAAAUCUCUCGCAUAUAUCUUUAAUUUUGAGAUCAAACAUUAUUUCGUUUGAUCAUCUGUCUCAUAACUCGUGCAACAAUAUAAUUAAAUGAAAACCCAUUAAGUUGGGACAUCAUCAAAAGUAUAAGAAUUUCCAAUGCAUUACUAUAAACUAUUAACGCAAGUAAGAAGUAUAUAAAGUUGUGAAAACACAUGAAACUUAAAAUAUACGUCCACAGACGUUGAAGUAUAUCCCACACGAUUUUCCAAGGCAAGACCUGUGAAAAAUAUAAAUUAGGCACGAUGACACCAAUGCUAAUUCCGUC
rnacentral:lncRNA from 1 species